rnacentral:rRNA from 1 species
CAGCAGCCGCGGGAAUACGUAGGUGGCAAGCGUUGUCCGGAAUUAUUGGGCGUAAAGCGCGCGCAGGCGGAUCAGUCAGUCUGUCUUAAAAGUUCGGGGCUUAACCCCGUGAGGGGAUGGAAACUGCUGAUCUAGAGUAUCGGAGAGGAAAGUGGAAUUCCUAGUGUAGCGGUGAAAUGCGUAGAUAUUAGGAAGAACACCAGUGGCGAAGGCGACUUUCUGGACGAAAACUGACGCUGAGGCGCGAAAGCCAGGGGAGCGAACGGGAUUAGAUACCCGCGUAGUCCCUGUCUCUUAUACA